AACCCUUGUCCUUAGUUACCAGCACGUUAUGGUGGGCACUCUAAGGAGACUGCCGGGUGCAAACCGGAGGAAGGUGGGGAUGACGUCAAGUCAUCAUGGCCCUUACGGCCUGGGCUACACACGUGCUACAAUGGUCGGUACAAAGGGUUGCCAAGCCGCGAGGUGGAGCUAAUCCCAUAAAACCGAUCGUAGUCCGGAUCGCAGUCUGCAACUCGACUGCGUGAAGUCGGAAUCGCUAGUAAUCGUGAAUCAGAAUGUCACGGUGAAUACGUUCCCGGGCCUU
rnacentral:rRNA from 1 species